rnacentral:rRNA from 1 species
UACGAAGGGGGCUAGCGUUGCUCGGAAUCACUGGGCGUAAAGCGCACGUAGGCGGAUCGUUAAGUCAGGGGUGAAAUCCUGGAGCUCAACUCCAGAACUGCCUUUGAUACUGGCGGACUCGAGUCCGGGAGAGGUGAGUGGAACUGCGAGUGUAGAGGUGAAAUUCGUAGAUAUUCGCAAGAACACCAGUGGCGAAGGCGGCUCACUGGCCCGGUACUGACGCUGAGGUGCGAAAGCGUGGGGAGCAACAGGG